AUUGCACGCUGGCGGCAGGCCUAACACAUGCAAGUCGAGCGGAGCGGCGGACGGGUGAGUAAUGCCUAGGAAUCCGCCUGGUAGUGGGGGAUAACGUCCGGAAACGGGCGCUAAUACCGCAUACUAGCAGAUGAGCCUAGGUCGGAGUAGCUAGUUGGUGGGGUAAAGGCCUGAGAAGGCGACGAUCCGUAACUGGUCGGAGAAGAUGAUCAGUCACACUGGAACUGACACACGUUCCAGACUCGUACGGGACGCAGCCGUGAGGAAGAUUGGACAAUGGGCGAAAGCCUGAUCCAGGCAUGCCGCGUGUGUUAAGAAGGUCUUCGGAUUGUAAAGCACUUUAAGUUGGGAGGCGUUACCAUCAGAAUAGGCACCGGCUAGCUUCGUGCCAGGAGCCGCGGUAAUUC
rnacentral:rRNA from 1 species